rnacentral:rRNA from 1 species
CUUACGGGAGGCAGCCGUAGGGAAUUUUCGGCAAUGGGCGCAAGCCUGACCGAGCAACGCCGCGUGAGUGAUUAAGGCCUUCGGGUUGUAAAGCUCUGUUGUAAGGGAAGAACAUUCAGGAUAGGAAAUGAUCUUGAACUGACGGUACCUUACCAGAAAGCCAAGGCUAAUUACGUGCCGGCAGCCGCGGUAAUAGGUAGGUGGCAAGCGUUUUCUGGAAUUAUUGGGCGUAAGGGGUGCGUGGGCGGUUUUUUAGGUCUAUGGUGAAAGUGCGGGGCUCAACCCCGUAUGGCCAUAGAAACUAGUAGACUUGAGUGCAGGAGAGGGCAAUGGAAUUCCAUGUGUAGCGGUAAAAUGCGUAGAUAUAUGGAGGAACACCAGUGGCGAAGGCGGUUGCCUGGCCUGUAACUGACGCUGAGGCAC